AUUGAACGCUGGCGGCAGGCCUAACACAUGCAAGUCGAGCGGUAACAGAAAGUAGCUUGCUACUUUGCUGACGAGCGGCGGACGGGUGAGUAAUGCCUGGGAAUUUGCCCAUUCGAGGGGGAUAACAGUUGGAAACGACUGCUAAUACCGCAUACGCCCUACGGGGGAAAGGAGGGGACCUUCGGGCCUUCCGCGAAUGGAUAAGCCCAGGUGGGAUUAGCUAGUAGGUGAGGUAAUGGCUCACCUAGGCGACGAUCCCUAGCUGUUCUGAGAGGAUGAUCAGCCACACUGGGACUGAGACACGGGCCCAGACUCCUACGGGGAGCAGCAGUGGGGAAUAUGCACAAUGGGCAAAGCCUGAUGCAGCCAUGCCGCGUGUGUGAAGAAGGCCUUCGGGUUGUAAAGCACUUUCAGCGAGGAGGAAAGGUUACUGGCUAAUAUCCAGUAGCUGUGACG
rnacentral:rRNA from 1 species